rnacentral:rRNA from 1 species
UACGUAGGGGCGAGCGUUGUCCGGAUUUAUUGGGCGUAAAGAGCGUGUAGGCGGCCAGGUAGGUCUGCUGUGAAACUCGAGGCUCAACCUCGAGACGUCGGCGGAAACCAUCUGGCUAGAGUCCGGAAGAGGAGAGUGGAAUUCCUGGUGUAGCGGUGAAAUGCGCAGAUAUCAGGAAGAACACCCGUGGCGAAGGCGGCUCUCGUGGACGGUACUGACGCUGAGACGCGAAAGCGUGGGGAGCGAACAGG